ACGUUUAAUGCAAGGGUAUAGCCAACAAAAUCUGAUCAAGGAUAGUCAGACGGUCACCAAUGAGGUAGAUAGUAGUUCAGGUCUGCUGUCUAGUUGUGGUAAGAUGAUCCAGUUGCCUCAUCUAUACAAGGACUGGGAAGAAGCUGU